GACGAACGCUGGCGGCGUGCUUAACACAUGCAAGUCGAGCGGUAAGGCCCUUUCGGGGUACGACGAGCGGCGAACGGGUGAGUAACACGUGGGUGACCUGCCCUCAGCUCUGGGAUAAGCCUGGGAAACUGGGUCUAAUACGUGGAUAUGACUCCACGGUGCAUGUCGUGGGGUGGAAAGCCUUGUGCGGCUGAGGAUGGGCCCG
rnacentral:rRNA from 1 species